UGGAGACAGAGCUGGUUGGCAGCGCGUCUGACUGAGACUGACUUGUCUCCUGCCCGUGGUGGGAUAGAGAUGGAACUGGCACAGUGAUGGCACCACCACAAGCCCUGGUCUGCUUAGGUGCCUGCUCUGGGGACGAGAGCCUGAACAUGCAGCUGUGUGAAGUCCAUCCAUCAAGGCAAGCUUGGUCGGGAACUCCUGAUGACUGCCCUGACUUCCCCAGCGGUUUCUGCCGGGUGUUGAGGAGGAACCUGAGAAGAGAAGUUUUAGCAUCCAAGGUCACUUGGAAGCCCCCUAGAUUCUUAAUUUAGGUGACUUCGCUUGCUGCUGUUCACUGUACUGUUCUAAAGUGGAUGCUGGUUUCACUGCUUAUAAACAGGAAAACAGAGGCCCCGAGGGAAGUUAGGGGUUAUUUAUUUAUUGGGGGAGGGGAGUAGAAGGGAUUAGAGUGGAAUAGAGGUUGGAAGGGAAACAGUUAUAAGAGCCCAAGAGAGGCCAUAAGAGAGAGAGGAGAGUGAGCAGCCACGUGGGUGCUAGGAACGGAACUGGAGUCCUCUACAAAAGUAGCUAUUGCUCUUAAGAGCCAAACCGUAUCUCCAGCCCUUGUAGAAGGUUUUCAACUCAGCUCAGUCUUAUGUUUCCAUAACCCUAUGAGGUGGAAGAAAAGUCACUGGGACCCCCUAGAGGAUGAGCUGCCCAAAAGGGCAGGGGCAUGGAUGGUCCUGGCCACCCGCCCCCCCCCCCCCCACCAACUUCCUGC
ensembl:lncRNA